CGUCCGGGACGAUAAUGACGGUACCGGAAGAAGAAGCCCCGGCUAACUUCGUGCCAGCAGCCGCGGUAAUACGAAGGGGGCUAGCGUUGUUCGGAAUUACUGGGCGUAAAGCGUGCGCAGGCGGUUUUGUAAGUCUGUCGUGAAAGCCCCGGGCUCAACCUGGGAAUUGCGAUGGAGACUGCAAGGCUUGAAUCUGGCAGAGGGGGGUAGAAUUCCACGUGUAGCAGUGAAAUGCGUAGAGAUGUGGAGGAACACCGAUGGCGAAGGCAGCCCCCUGGGUCAAGAUUGACGCUCAUGCACGAAAGCGUGGGGAGCAAACAGGAUUAGAUACCCUGGUAGUCCACGCCCUAAACGAUGUCUACUAGUUGUCGGGUUUUAAUUAACUUGGUAACGCAGCUAACGCGUGAAGUAGACCGCCUGGGGAGUACGGUCGCAAGAUUAAAACUCAAAGGAAUUGACGGGGACCCGCACAAGCGGUGGAUGAUGUGGAUUAAUUCGAUGCAACGCGAAAAACCUUACCUACCCUUGACAUGGAAGGAAUCCUGGAGAGAUCCGGGAGUGCCCGAAAGGGAACCUUCACACAGGUGCUGCAUGGCUGUCGUCAGCUCGUGUCGUGAGAU
rnacentral:rRNA from 1 species